rnacentral:rRNA from 1 species
AUUGAACGCUGGCGGCAUGCUUUACACAUGCAAGUCGAACGGCAGCGCGGGCUUCGGCCUGGCGGCGAGUGGCGAACGGGUGAGUAAUGCAUCGGAACGUGCCCAGUAGUGGGGGAUAGCCCGGCGAAAGCCGGAUUAAUACCGCACACGACCUGAGGGUGAAAGCGGGGGACCGAAAGGCCUCGCGCUAUUGGAGCGGCCGAUGUCGGAUUAGCUAGUUGGUGGGGUAAAGGCUUACCAAGGCGACGAUCCGUAGCUGGUCUGAGAGGACGACCAGCCACACUGGGACUGAGACACGGCCCAGACUCCUACGGGAGGCAGCAGUGGGGAAUUUUGGACAAUGGGGGCAACCCUGAUCCAGCCAUGCCGCGUGCGGGAAGAAGGCCUUCGGGUUGUAAACCGCUUUUGUUCGGGAAGAAAUCCUCUGGGCUAAUACCCCGGGGGGAUGACGGUACCGGAAGAGUAAGCACCGGCUAACUACGUG